UACGUAGGUGGCAAGCGUUGUCCGGAAUCACUGGGCGUAAAGCGCGCGCAGGCGGCGAUCUACGUCUGGGGUGAAAGCCCGGAGCUCAACUCCGGGACUGCCUUGGAUACGGGAUCGCUUGAGGAUUGGAGAGGCAAGGGGAAUUCCACGUGUAGCGGUGAAAUGCGUAGAUAUGUGGAGGAACACCUGUGGCGAAGGCGGCUCUCUGGGACGGUACUGACGCUGAGACGCGAAAGCGUGGGGAGCGAACAGG
rnacentral:rRNA from 1 species